rnacentral:tRNA from 1 species
UCCCUGGUGGCUUAGACGGUAAAGCGUCUGCCUGCAAUGCAGGAGACCCAGGUUCGAUCCUUGGGUGGGGAA